rnacentral:rRNA from 1 species
CGAAGGGUGCAUGCGUUACUCGGAAUUACUGGGCGUAAAGCGUGCGUAGGUGGUGAGUUAAGUCUGUCGUGAAAGCCCCGGGCUCAACCUGGGAAUGGCGAUGGAUACUGGCUCGCUAGAGUGCGGUAGAGGAGAGUGGAAUUCCCGGUGUAGCAGUGAAAUGCGUAGAGAUCGGGAGGAACAUCAGUUGCGAAGGCGGCUCUCUGGACCAGCACUGACACUGAGGCACGAAAGCGUGGGGAGCAAACAGGAUUAGAUACCCUGGUAGUCCACGCCCUAAACGAUGCGAACUGGACGUUGGGAGCAAUCAGGCUCUCAGUGUCGAAGCUAACGCGUUAAGUUCGCCGCCUGGGGAGUACGGUCGCAAGACUG